GCACAAUUUGUUUAAUUCCGAGUAAUAUAACAGCAUAAUAAGAAGAUGCUGAUUAAUUAAGUAGCAAAGCUGAAAGAAAAAUACGUAUUUAUUUUUAUUAUUAUUAUGCAAUUCAUAAGAACACAAAGAACAUAUCCCAUGUAAUUGUGUAGAGUCUGAAACAGUAGUUAUGUUUUCCAUACUACUAAUUAGUAAGUACAAACCUUAUUUGUUUUUCUUCUUCUAACAUUGGCAUUUCCAGGACUAUCUACCAUAAUAUAUAGCAUGCAUUUCUGUCAACUGUCAAAUUCCUAUUAGCUGAUGAUCAUGAACUGCUCAGAGUUCUAUAUAUUCAAGGAAACAUUAGUUUACUUGGAAGAAGCAUAGAGCUGCCAGGGAAAGCAAAACAGCGAAAACAACCGGCUGCAGUUGCAAAUGGACAGAGUUGAAGGUGGAAGAAGGCAAUGAAGGGUUGUAAUUGGGGAAGUGAGGCGUUGGGUUAUUCCCAUAACCGGGACCUGGAGGCGCAUAAAAUGAACCACGGGGUGGAGGGUUAUAAUAAGGCUGCUUAGGAGGCAGCUGUUGAAUAGGAAUUGCAUUAGGAGGCAGCGGUGGAGUAGGAAUUGCAUGAGGCGGUAAGGUGCAUGCUGGGCAUUCUUCCACUGGUGGUGGUGGACAUUCAGGGAGAGGUGGGGGCGAUUGAGGAGGAGGAGAAGGAGGUGGAGGUGGUGGGGGGCAUUCAGGGAGAGCAGGUGGUGGUGGUGGUGGAGAUGGAAGGGGUGGACAUGGAUUGUCGCAGGAGUAGCACAUUGUGCAUGGCAUUUGGUCUCUGUAGACUGCUGUUAUUGUUGUUGUUGAUGUGGUUAAGCAGAAAAAAAAUGCUAGGGAAGUGAUUAUCAACAGAACUCUCAUGGCGAUUGGCAUCAUAUGCUACUGGCUAGGUCGAGGGGAUGAGAGGAGGAUUGGAGAUGAACCAGAAGCAGCAAAGUGUAGGUCGGGUAUUGCGAUUGAGAAAGGGCAAAAUAUGGCGUGUAUUGGUGACCGCAACAUUUUUAUGUACAAU
rnacentral:misc_RNA from 1 species